GAUGAAGAACGUAGCGAAAUGCGAUAAGUAAUGUGAAUUGCAGAAUUCAGUGAAUCAUCGAAUCUUUGAACGCACAUUGCGCCCGCCAGUAUUCUGGCGAGCAUGCCUGUUCGAGCGUCAUUUCAACCAUCAAGCCCCAGGCUUGUGUUGGAGCCCUGCGGCUGCCACAGCCUCCCAAAACCAGUGGCGGGCUCGCUAUCACACCGAGUGCAGUAGUUUACUCUUCGCUCAGGGCGUGUGGCGGGUGCUAGCCGUGAAACCCCCAACUUCUCAAGGUUGACCUCGGAUCAGGUAGGAAUACCCGCUGAACUUAAGCAUAUCAAUAAGCGGAGGA
rnacentral:misc_RNA from 1 species